rnacentral:rRNA from 1 species
AGGUUAAGCUAGAAAGGGCGCACGGUGGAUGCCUUGGCACUAGGAGCCGAUGAAGGACGGGGCAAACGCCG